rnacentral:rRNA from 1 species
UACAGAGGUCCCAAGCGUUGUCCGGAAUUACUGGGCGUAAAGAGCUCGUAGGUGGUUUGUCGCGUUGUUCGUGAAAACCGGGGGCUUAACCCUCGGCGUGCGGGCGAUACGGGCAGACUUGAGUACUGCAGGGGAGACUGGAAUUCCUGGUGUAGCGGUGGAAUGCGCAGAUAUCAGGAGGAACACCGGUGGCGAAGGCGGGUCUCUGGGCAGUAACUGACGCUGAGGAGCGAAAGCGUGGGGAGCAAACAGG